rnacentral:rRNA from 1 species
AUUGAACGCUGGCGGCAUGCCUUACACAUGCAAGUCGAGCGGCAGCGCGCGGGCAACCCUGGCGGCGAGCGGCGGACGGGUGAGUAAUACAUCGGAACGUGUCCUUUCGUGGGGGAUAACCAGUCGAAAGACUGGCUAAUACCGCAUGAGAUCCCACGAUGAAAGCGGGGGACCGCAAGGCCUCGCGCGAUUGGAGCGGCCGGUGUCGGAUUAGCUAGUUGGCGGGGUAAAAGCCCACCAAGGCGACGAUCCGUAGCUGGUUUGAGAGAACGACCAGCCACACUGGGACUGAGACACGGCCCAGACUCCUACGGGAGGCAGCAGUGGGGAAUUUUGGACAAUGGGGGCAACCCUGAUCCAGCCAUGCCGCGUGUGUGAAGAAGGCCUUCGGGUUGUAAAGCACUUUCGGCCGGAACGAAAUCGCGCGGAUUAAUAACCCGCGUGGAUGACGGUACCGGAAGAAGAAGCACCGGCUAACUACGUGCCAGCCGCCGCAGUAA